AAGGAGGUGAUCCAACCGCAGGUUCCCCUACGGUUACCUUGUUACGACUUCACCCCAGUCAUGAAUCACAAAGUGGUAAGCGCCCUCCCGAAGGUUAAGCUACCUACUUCUUUUGCAACCCACUCCCAUGGUGUGACGGGCGGUGUGUACAAGGCCCGGGAACGUAUUCACCGUGGCAUUCUGAUCCACGAUUACUAGCGAUUCCGACUUCAUGGAGUCGAGUUGCAGACUCCAAUCCGGACUACGACGCACUUUAUGAGGUCCGCUUGCUCUCGCGAGGUCGCUUCUCUUUGUAUGCGCCAUUGUAGCACGUGUGUAGCCCUGGUCGUAAGGGCCAUGAUGACUUGACGUCAUCCCCACCUUCCUCCAGUUUAUCACUGGCAGUCUCCUUUGAGUUCCCGGCCUAACCGCUGGCAACAAAGGAUAAGGGUUGCGCUCGUUGCGGGACUUAACCCAACAUUUCACAACACGAGCUGACGACAGCCAUGCAGCACCUGUCUCACAGUUCCCGAAGGCACCAAUCCAUCUCUGGAAAGUUCUGUGGAUGUCAAGACCAGGUAAGGUUCUUCGCGUUGCAUCGAAUUAAACCACAUGCUCCACCGCUUGUGCGGGCCCCCGUCAAUUCAUUUGAGUUUUAACCUUGCGGCCGUACUCCCCAGGCGGUCUACUUAACGCGUUAGCUCCGGAAGCCACGCCUCAAGGGCACAACCUCCAAGUAGACAUCGUUUACGGCGUGGACUACCAGGGUAUCUAAUCCUGUUUGCUCCCCACGCUUUCGCACCUGAGCGUCAGUCUUUGUCCAGGGGGCCGCCUUCGCCACCGGUAUUCCUCCAGAUCUCUACGCAUUUCACCGCUACACCUGGAAUUCUACCCCCCUCUACAAGACUCAAGCCUGCCAGUUUCGAAUGCAGUUCCCAGGUUGAGCCCGGGGAUUUCACAUCCGACUUGACAGACCGCCUGCGUGCGCUUUACGCCCAGUAAUUCCGAUUAACGCUUGCACCCUCCGUAUUACCGCGGCUGCUGGCACGGAGUUAGCCGGUGCUUCUUCUGCGGGUAACGUCAAUUGCUGCGGUUAUUAACCACAACACCUUCCUCCCCGCUGAAAGUACUUUACAACCCGAAGGCCUUCUUCAUACACGCGGCAUGGCUGCAUCAGGCUUGCGCCCAUUGUGCAAUAUUCCCCACUGCUGCCUCCCGUAGGAGUCUGGACCGUGUCUCAGUUCCAGUGUGGCUGGUCAUCCUCUCAGACCAGCUAGGGAUCGUCGCCUUGGUGAGCCGUUACCUCACCAACUAGCUAAUCCCAUCUGGGCACAUCUGAUGGCAAGAGGCCCGAAGGUCCCCCUCUUUGGUCUUGCGACGUUAUGCGGUAUUAGCCACCGUUUCCAGUAGUUAUCCCCCUCCAUCAGGCAGUUUCCCAGACAUUACUCACCCGUCCGCCACUCGUCAGCGAAGCAGCAAGCUGCUUCCUGUUACCGUUCGACUUGCAUGUGUUAGGCCUGCCGCCAGCGUUCAAUCUGAGCCAUGAUCAAACUCUUCAA
rnacentral:rRNA from 1 species